rnacentral:rRNA from 1 species
CACUGCCGAGAAAAGCCUCUAGAUAGAAAAUAGGUGCCCGUACCGCAAACCGACACAGGUAGUCAAGAUGAGAAUUCUAAGGUGAGCGAGCGAACUCUCGUUAAGGAACUCGGCAAAAUGACCCCGUAACUUCGGGAGAAGGGGUGCUCUUUAGGGUUAACGCCCAGAAGAGCCGCAGUGAAUAGGCCCAAGCGACUGUUUAUCAAAAACACAGGUCUCUGCUAAACCGUAAGGUGAUGUAUAGGGGCUGACGCCUGCCCGGUGCUGGAAGGUUAAGAGGAGUGGUUAGCUUCUGCGAAGCUACGAAUCGAAGCCCCAGUAAACGGCGGCCGUAACUAUAACGGUCCUAAGGUAGCGAAAUUCCUUGUCGGGUAAGUUCCGACCCGCACGAAAGGCGUAACGAUUUGGGCACUGUCUCAACGAGAGACUCGGUGAAAUCAUAGUACCUGUGAAGAUGCAGGUUACCCGCGACAGGACGGAAAGACCCCGUGGAGCUUUACUGUAGCCUGAUAUUGAAAUUCGGCACAGCUUGUACAGGAUAGGUAGGAGCCUUUGAAACGUGAGCGCUAGCUUACGUGGAGGCGCUGGUGGGAUACUACCCUAGCUG